rnacentral:rRNA from 1 species
GAUGAACGCUAGCGGCAGGCUUAAUACAUGCAAGUCGAACGGUAAGUUGGGUAGCAAUAUCUGACCUAGAGUGACGUACGGGUGCGUAACACGUAUGCAACCUACCCAAAACAGGAGUAUAGCUCGGGGAAACUCGAAUUAACCCUCCAUGAGAUGAUAGAGUGGCAUCACUUAGUCAUUAAAACUCAGGUGGUUUUGGA